GCUGGGCACUGGGGCUGGUGCCUGUGAUCCCAGCUCCCAGGGAGGUUGAGGCCGGCAGAUCGCUUGAGCUCAGGAGUUGUGGGCUGCAGUGGGCUGUGCCGAUCGGGUGUCUGCACUAAGUUUGGCAUCAAUAUGGUGAUCCCUGGGGAGCUUGGGGUCCCCAGGUCGCCUAAGGAGGGGUGAACCGGCCCAGGUCAGAAAUGGAGCCGGUCAAAACUCCCGUGCUGAUCAGUAGUGGGAUUGUGCCUGUGAAUAGCCACUGCAGUGUAGCCUGGGCAAGACACAGUCUCUU
rnacentral:SRP_RNA from 1 species